AGUGAACGCUGGCGGUAGGCCUAACACAUGCAAGUCGAACGGCAGCACAGUAAGAGCUUGCUCUUACGGGUGGCGAGUGGCGGACGGGUGAGGAAUACAUCGGAAUCUACUUUUUCGUGGGGGAUAACGUAGGGAAACUUACGCUAAUACCGCAUAUGACCUACGGGUGAAAGCAGUGGAUCUUCGCACCUUGCGCGAUUGAAUGAGCUGAUGUCGGAUUAGCUAGUUGGCGGGGUAAAGGCCCACCAAGGCGACGAUCCGUAGCUGGUCUGAGAGGAUGAUCGGCCACACUGGAACUGAGACACGGUCAAGACUCCUACGGGAGGCAGCAGUGGGGAAUAUUGGGCAAUGGGCGCAAGCCUGAUCCAGCCAUACCGCGUGGGUGAAGAAGGCCUUCGGGUUGUAAAGCCCUUUUGUUGGGAAAGAAAAGCAGCAGGUUAAUACCCCGCUGUUCUGACGGUACCCAAAGAAUAAGCACCGGCUAACUUCGUG
rnacentral:rRNA from 1 species